rnacentral:lncRNA from 1 species
AGAGCUCCCGAGCCAAGAAAAUCUCUCAUUGCCUUUGGAACACCUGCAUUCAGAGAGUUUACAGGUGAGUUGACACCGACAUCAGAGUCAGCUCAUUGUCCACCACCAUGGACCGAGAGCUCCUCCUGCAAUCGGUGUUGCACUGCAGUCUCAGGAUCCAGCUGCAGACCUGAGAACUGCUCACAGCUAUGCCUCACUCAUCUGCUGGCCCCCGGCUCGCAACCCCAUUUGCACCACCUCUUCCUUACCCCUGCUGCACACCCAGUGGUCUACAAACACGCUUCUGCCUCGCAACUUUUCCUGCAGUGUGCUGACAGGAUGACUAUCCUAAAACACAAAUAUUUUCCUAAAAGUCCCCAAUAGUAGAAACUUCAUAGCAUUCUCCUACCUCAUUUUUUUGAUAAAUAUUUCUUGGUUCCAAGUAUUUUGAUUAUACCAGCUUCAGGCCCGUUUUGCAAGUUCACCUUUGUCCUCAUCCAAACCGUACUGUCUGCAGGUUCCUUAAUUCUCUUUGUUGCCUGUCACACACUGGGAUUUCAAAGAUGGUAUGUUUCUGCUCCCAGUGCUUGCUUGCUUCAUUAUUAAAUUUGGCCAAGGCUCACUGGAAAUGUCACACUCUUGCUGCUGCUGUCCAGGAUCCUCAGACAAAAUCGAUUGCUCCCUCUUCUCUUUGCGAAUGUGCAUAAGGUCCGGGCAUUGCACAGGCACAGAUUGCAGUAGUCUAUAAAAAGAAUUAAUUAGUGUAUGAUCCUCACUGUAUCUUGAUAUUGGUUAGGCCCAUAGCGGACUGCUUCAUUCUUAAGAACAUUAAUAUCUUGUUUCUUCACUUCACAGACAAAGACACAAUUCCUAGUUAGGAUGUCAAGUUUCAAAAUUUUAAGAGGGGUGGAUCUUUAGCCUAAAGGUUAAAAUGUCUGCAUCUCACAUCAGAAUUUCUGGAUUCAAUUUCCAGUUCUAAUUCCUGACUCCAGCUUCUUGCUGAUUUAGUCCCUGGAAAGUAGUUAUGACAACUCAAGUCACUGGGUUCCUGCCACCUAUGCAGGAUGCAGGAGACUUGAACUGAGUUCCUGGAUCCCAGCAUCUGCCCUGGCCCAGACCUGUACAUGUAGCACUGUGGG